rnacentral:rRNA from 1 species
GAUGAACGCUAGCGGCAGGCUUAAUACAUGCAAGUCGAGGGGCAGCAGUUUUGUAGCAAUACAGAAGCUGGCGACCGGCAAACGGGUGCGGAACACGUACGCAACCUUCCUUUAACUGGGAGAUAGCCCACCGAAAGGUGGAUUAAUAUCCCAUAAUUUAACUGAAUGGCAUCAUUUAGAUAUUAAAGCUCCGGCGGUUAAAGGUGGGCGUGCGUCUGAUUAGGUAGUUGGCGGGGUAACGGCCCACCAAGCCUUCGAUCAGUAGCUGAUGUGAGAGCAUGAUCAGCCACACGGGCACUGAGACACGGGCCCGACUCCUACGGGAGGCAGCAGUAAGGAAUAUUGGUCAAUGGACGCAAGUCUGAACCAGCCAUGCCGCGUGGAGGAUGAAGGCCCUCUGGGUUGUAAACUUCUUUUCUUUGGGACGAAACCCCUGUUUCUACGGGGACUGACGGUACCAGAGGAAUAAGCACCGGCUAACUCCGUGCCAGCCGCCGCAGUAA